AAUAUUAACUGUUUACCCUAAAAGACAUGACAACGAUGAAUAGAGUUAAAUUGUAAGUGAACUAAUAUUUUGUACAAUAAAGAUAUAAGGGAUAUACAUUGCACAGAUAUACAUGAUGCAUAAAGUCUCACAUGUUUCCAAAACGAAAACACUAACAAUCCAAGAUAUAUGAUCAAUUAGUUCUUCAACCGCUAAUGGAAUGCUGGAUAUCCUUAGUUCCCUUUGUAGUUCUUGUCAUAUCUGGACACAACUCAGGAAAAAUAAAUAUAAAUACAAAGACAGAAGAAGAUUAAGGCAUGUGUCCAUAGCUAGUACAAGAAAUUAC
rnacentral:lncRNA from 1 species